GCAUUAAUUGCUCAGUCAGUAAAGCAUGAGACUCUUCUAAUCUCAGUGCUGUGGGUUCAAGCCCCACAUUGGGCA